rnacentral:rRNA from 1 species
CGGGACGGGUGAGUAAUGUCGUGGGAAACUGCCUGAUGGAGGGGGAUAUACUGGAAACGGUAGCUAAUACCGCAUAACGUCGCAAGACCAAAGAGGGGGACCUUCGGGCCUCUUGCCAUCGGAUGUGCCCAGAUGGGAUUAGCUAGUAGGUGGGGUAACGGCUCACCUAGGCGACGAUCCCUAGCUGGUCUGAGAGGAUGACCAGCCACACUGGAACUGAGACACGGUCCAG